CACUGGAGGAGACCAGCACACGCAUGAGGACCAGAGGCUGUGACAAGGGCCCAGGUUUGCCCAAAGCCAAGAGUGAAGGCAGGGCACCUGAGGGACUACGGAGAACAGUUCAUGCCCGGCCUACCAUCAGCCUGGUCUGCUCUCAGGGUAGGGUCCAAGCCCCUGGGGAGGUGGCCUAGAGGCCACGAAGCCUCAGCUAUGUUGUCAGAGGUGCCUGCCCCGGCGCUGGCUCACAGCAGCCCUCGCAGACAAGGAGGAAUCCUCGGCUUCCCGGUCCCUGAUGAACUUGGACAUCUCUUCUGCCUCUUUGCAGGCCUGGGUGUGAACAGACAGGCAUCGUGCCCUGUUUAUGUCUGGGUGGACAGGUGCUCUGUGCAUCCACCCAGAGGUUGGGGUUCAUGUCGUUGGGGCAGAUGCCAGCGUGGGAAUAGCGGAUGGGCGGCAGCGCCAGGCCUCGAGCGGGUACCCCGAGCAACAGCAGCAGCAGCAGCAGCGCUGCCACCUGCUCCCAGCGGGACCAGGACCGGCGGCACCCCAGGGCCCACAUGCUGCGGUCUAUGGUGGCUGGAGACCUCCCCUGCAACAGCGCCAGGGGCUGGGGGCCACCAGGGCCUCCUUCUCGCGGGCUGGAGACACCUGCCCUCCCCACCCCAGCAGGCUUCCUUGCUAAGGCUGUGCUGAGGCUGCUGCCGCCGGCUGCCUCCACCAAGUCAGUGCAGCCUGCUGGGCCGUGCGGCUUCAGAUAAAAGAAAGGUCUUUGGAAAGAAACUCCCUCUCCUGAGUGUGCAGGGAGAGGAGCCGCAGCAGGGGCCCCGAGCCUGGAUUUAUAUCCUGGGCGCGCCACCCGAGUGGGAGCAGGCUAACCUGAUGCCUGUCACAGGCAGGCUGCUGGCGCCUCUGUCCCGUGGCUGAUCACAGACUUAUUGCAGAAGGGG